rnacentral:rRNA from 1 species
GAUGAACGCUGGCUACAGGCUUAACACAUGCAAGUCGCGGGGCAGCAUGGGGGUUGCUUGCAAUCCCCGAUGGCGACCGGCGCACGGGUGAGUAACGCGUAUCCAACCUGCCCUUCACCACGGGAUAACCCGGCGAAAGUCGGACUAAUACCGACUGUUGUCGAUUGACGGCAUCCGAUUUAGACGAACGGUUUCGCCGCGAAGGAUGGGGUUUCGUCCGAUUAGCUGGAGGGCGGGGGGACGGCCCACCGAGGCCACGAUCGGUAGGGGUUCUGGGAGGGAGGACACCCGGACUGGAACUGGGCCACGGUCCAGACGCCUACGGGCAGUAGGGGUGAGGAAGAUUGGGCAAUGAGCGUGAGCCUGAACCAGCGAAGUAGCGUGCAGGAUGACGGCCCUGUGGAGUGUAAACUGCUUUUAUGCGGGGAUAAGGUGGUCCACGUGUGGGUCUUUGCAGGUACCGCAUGAAUAAGGACCGGCUAAUUCCGUG